AGAAGCUGGUAAUACUGUAACUGUAAUUGUUACUGGAAGCGUAAAGGUCAGAGCCUGGUCCCUAAUAGUCCCAAGGCUUGCGCACCUGUCCUCAGGAGCCCAGUUACACAGACAAGAGUACCUCAAAGCCGGAGUAGGAGAUAUAUUCAAACGUGGCCACUUUAGAAAGAGAAACAAAAAGGCACAGUGACUAUCCCCAGUUCAUCUUCAGAGUCCUGACAUGACAUUUGGGUUUAAAUAGGAACAAGUGGUCAGCCUUGAUUAUAUAACAAAAUUUGGGGGGAAAAAAUGAAGAAAGAAACAAAGAAGAAAAAUAGCCGGAUGAUGUUAAUGCACAUCUUUAAUCCCAGCACUCGGGAGGCAGAGGCAGGCAGAUCUCUGUGAACUUGAGGCCAGCCUGGUCUACAGAGCAAGUUCCAGGAUAGCCAGGCUGUCUGAAAAAGGCUAUUUUUUCACGGGAGGGUUCACCUUGAAGAUAAACUGCAGUCUGUUGCAGGGCUUCUUCGGGGGUGCGGGAGAGAGAGGCCCCGAGCGCUGUCUUCCCCGCGGUCCGAUGUGCACCGCCGCGCGCAUUCUUUCUGGGGCUGUGUGGAGCCUUCAGCGCUGCCCUCAGACUCAACCAGGGAACCGAUGUGAGCACGGCAGCCCAGCGGGAGAGAAGCAGACAGCGUGGGCUCCCGGGAAAGGGGCCGCCGACCCUGGAGAGGCCCUGCCUCCGCCCGCCGGCCUCCCUCUCCUAGAGCAACGAAUUUCUUUUUCUUUAUUGUUUUAACUGAUAAUUAUUGAGCUCUACAUUUUUCUCUGCUCCCCUCCCUGCCUCUUCCCUCC